UGGGGGAUAACGCAUCGAAAGAUUCGCUAAUACCGCAUACGCCCUACGGGGGAAAGCAGGGGAUCGUAAGACCUUGCGUUAAUGNGAGCGNCCGAUAUCUGAUUAGCUUGUUCGUGAGGUAAAGGCUCACCAAGGCGACGAUCAGUAGCUGGUUUGAGAGAAUGACCAGCCACACUGGAACUGAGACACGGUCCAGACUCCUACGGGAGGCAGCAGUGGGGAAUUUUGGACAAUGGGGGCAACCCUGAUCCAGCCAUUCCGCGUGAGUGAAGAAGGCCUUCGGGUUGUAAAGCUCUUUCGCAAGGGAAGAAAACUUAUGAUCGAAUAAAUCAUGAGGUNUGACGGUACCUUGAUAAGAAGCACCGGCUAACUACGUGCCAGCAGCCGCGGUAAUACGUAGGGUGCGAGCGUUAAUCGGAAUUACUGGGCGUAAAGCGUGCGCAGGCGGUUUUGUAAGUCGGAUGUGAAAUCCCCGGGCUCAACNUGGGAACUGCGUUUGAAACUACAAGGCUAG
rnacentral:rRNA from 1 species